rnacentral:misc_RNA from 1 species
CCGAGAUUAUAUUCAAUGUUAUAUAUAAAAAUACAGUAUGGUAUAUUAGGCGUUUGUAUAAAUGGUAGUUACAGCACUGCAACUCUUUUCUCAAUUUGGGAUUGAAUGUUGCCUUUCAAACCACACAAAUGAUCCAGGACAAUGAAUCUAAAAUGCAAUGCAUAAAGGGAAUACCAAAUUAGUCUAAGGUUGAUAUAAAAAGUGAUAAAUGAAGUAAUAUCUAUGUCAAUCCAAAGUUCAUUAGAAUUGUAAAACUGAAUUUUAUACGCGUAGAAUUUUGUCACUCAUGGCAGAAAGAAAUUAGGAAAGUGAAAUCAUAACAGGAAGACUAGCACAAGACAAUUACCCAAUGAAAGGCCAUGCAAACUGCCAUUGCCUUUGCCCUAAUUCGACUUGGCAAUAUUUCUGACAGAAGUAGACUA